AGGGCACCACCAGGAGUGGAGCCUGCGGCUUAAUUUGACUCAACACGGGAAAACUCACCCGGCCCGGACACUGGAAGGAUUGACAGAUUGAGAGCUCUUUCUUGAUUCAGUGGGUGGUGGUGCAUGGCCGUUCUUAGUUGGUGGAGUGAUUUGUCUGGUUAAUUCCGAUAACGAACGAGACUCUAGCCUACUAAAUAGAUCGUCGGCUUACAAACGCCGGCGAGACUUCUUAGAGGGACAGGCGGUGAUUCAACCGCACGAAACAGAGCAAUAACAGGUCUGUGAUACCCUUAGAUGUCCGGGGCCGCACGCGCGCUACACUGAAGUGAUCAGCGUGCUUUUUCAACCUACUCUGUCAAGAGUGGGGAACACAAUGAACCUUCUUCGUGAUUGGGAUAGGGGAUUGUAAUUAUUCCCCUUGAACGAGGAAUUCCCAGUAAGCGCGAGUCAUAAGCUCGCGUUGAUUACGUCCCUGCCCUUUGUACACACCGCCCGUCGCUACUACCGAUUGAAUGUUUU
rnacentral:rRNA from 1 species